UACGGAGGGGGCUAGCGUUGUUCGGAAUUACUGGGCGUAAAGGGCGCGUAGGCGGCCUGCUAAGUCGGACGUGAAAUCCCUCGGCUCAACCGGGGAACUGCGUCCGAUACUGGCGAGGCUUGAAUCCGGGAGAGGGAUGUGGAAUUCCAGGUGUAGCGGUGAAAUGCGUAGAUAUCGUAAGGAAGACCAGUGGCGAAGGCGGGUCUCUGGACAGUUCCUGACGCUGAGGCACGAAGGCCAGGGGAGCAAACGGG
rnacentral:rRNA from 1 species